GAGCCAAGGCCGAGAUUGACUGUGUGAAGUCGGAGGCCAAACAAGUGAAGGACGUCAACGGUGAAAUCAAGCUGUACAACCAGUCUAUGAAGGCAGACAGACUAGAAGAGCGUCAGGAACGGAUGUCGACCAUCACUACGAAGGAGACAAGUGUGAACCAGGAGCGUGAGGAGAUCACGGAGAAUGUCAACAAGCUCAGCAAGGACCUGGCCACUCAGCAGAUCCGAGAGCUGGAGUUGAUGGACAACCUUCAGCUACGGCAGAAGCAGAAGGAGGUGGGCAGUCUGGAGCGUGAG